AGAGUUUGAUCCUGGCUCAGAAUCAACGCUGGCGGCGUGCCUAACACAUGCAAGUCGAGCGCGAAAGGGGAGCAAUCCCCAAGUAGAGCGGCGAACGGGUGAGUAACGCGUGGGUGAUCUACCUUCGAGUGGGGAACAACAGUGGGAAACUGCUGCUAAUACCGCAUGACAUCUUCGGGUCACAUCGAAGAUCAAAGCCGGGGACCGCAAGGCCUGGCGCUUGAAGAGGAGCCCGCGUCCGAUUAGCUAGUUGGCGGGGUAAUGGCCCACCAAGGCUUCGAUCGGUAGCCGGCCUGAGAGGGCGGACGGCCACACUGGGACUGAGACACGGCCCAGACUCCUACGGGAGGCAGCAGUGGGGAAUUUUUCGCAAUGGGCGAAAGCCUGACGAAGCAACGCCGCGUGGGGGAUGAAGGUCUUCGGAUCGUAAACCCC
rnacentral:rRNA from 1 species